CUCAGAGCCAGCCAAGUAUGGAAUGACACCUCCACGAACUGGAGCAAAACAAGCUGAUUCUGGACAGAGGGAAGAAAGCACUAUCAAGAGUGGAGGAGAAAAGAAAUGUGAGACUUCAACAGGAAACACACACAAAGAUGAAAGAACAAAACAUGAAUGUAAAAUACUUUCUCCAAUACUGGAAAACUGUCAAAUCAUCUGAUCCAAACUUCUGCUUCAGUGGACAACAUAAGAUUAGGCUCUUCUUUCCAUCAAAGAAUGACAAAAUUUGUCCAAUUUUAAUCAACUACGUUAAAUUUUUUUUAACUGCUUUGUGCCCUUGGCUUAGGCAAAGAUCUUUUAGAUAAGACAUCUAAAGUACAAUCCAUAAACUAAAAAAAUCUAAGUUGGACUUCAUCAUGCAAAUUAAAAGCACAAUCAUGUAAUAUAUCUACUAGAAUGACUAUAAUUUUAAAAGGCUGACCAAUUCAAGAACGGUAAGUACAAAGAGUAACUGGA